UACCAGCACCCCGAGUGGUCGGGACGUUUUAUUGGGCCUAAAGCAUCCGUAGCCGGUUCUACAAGUCUUCCGUUAAAUCCACGCUGCUUAACAGAUGGGCUGCGGAAGAUACUAUGGAGCUAGGAGGCGGGAGAGGCAAGCGGUACUCGAUGGGUAGGGGUAAAAUCCGUUGAUCCAUUGAAGACCACCAGUGACGAAGGCGGCUUGCCAGAACGCGCGUCGGACGGUGAAGGGAUGGGAAAGCUGGGGGAGUCAAACCGG
rnacentral:rRNA from 1 species